GGGGCCGUAGCUCAGCGGUCAGAGCGCGCGGCUUACAUCCGCGACGUCGGAGGUUCGAAUCCUCCCGGCCCCA
rnacentral:tRNA from 1 species